rnacentral:rRNA from 1 species
GACGAACCGUGCGAACGUUGUUCGGAAUCACUGGGCUUAAAGGGCGCGUAGGCGGGCCACCAAGUCCGGGGUGAAAUCUUUCGGCUCAACCGGAAAAGGGCCUCGGAUACUGGUGGCCUCGAGGAAGGUAGGGGCAUGCGGAACUUCCGGUGGAGCGGUGAAAUGCGUUGAUAUCGGAAGGAACGCCGGUGGCGAAAGCGGCGUGCUGGACCUUUGCUGACGCUGAUGCGCGAAAGCCAGGGGAGCGAACGGG